UACGUAGGUGGCAAGCGUUGUCCGGAUUUAUUGGGUUUAAAGGGUGCGUAGGCGGUCCUAUAAGUCAGUGCUGAAAUAUCCCGGCUUAACCGGGAGGGUGGCAUUGAUACUGCAGGACUUGAGUGAAGUCGAGGUAGGCGGAAUUGACGGUGUAGCGGUGAAAUGCUUAGAUAUCUGGAGGAACACCGGUGGCGAAGGCGGCGUCCUGGACCAACACUGACACUGAGGAGCGAAAGCCAGGGGAGCAAACGGG
rnacentral:rRNA from 1 species